rnacentral:rRNA from 1 species
ACGCUCGACACCUACGUGAGGCAGCAGUGGGGAAUAUUGCACAAUGGGGGAAACCCUGAUGCAGCGACGCCGCGUGGAGGAAGAAGGUCUUCGGAUUGUAAACUCCUGUUGUUGGGGAAAAAGAGGAUGGUACCCAACAAGGAAGUGACGGCUAACUACGUGCCAGCAGCCGGGUAAUCUGAGCGGGCUGGCAAGGC